UAGCGACGGGAGAAAGGGAGGGUAGUGCCAAAAAUUCUGGCUAAAUUAGGUCUUGUUCCCCCUUUCCUCAAUCCUUCGCCGCCGCCAGAGAAAAUCCCCCUCUCUCUCCCCAAUCUUCCUCUCCCACAUCACCAUGGCCCGCCGCGCGCCACCACCCCGCCGUGCCCCUACCGGCCCUGCUCCACCGCGCCCUACCAGCCCUGCUCCGCCGCGUCGCCUCUUCUUCCCCUUCUCUACCACAUCGGUGACCCAAUCGGACCAUCCGGCGGUGGGCACGAUGUCCUCACGCGGAUCUGACUGCCGCCACUGUCGCCGCCUCCAUGCCACCUCGAGCUGCUCCUUGAUGCAGUUGUCCCCGACGAGCACCACCCCCACACGACUGUCGCUGACGAGCUACUCCCCGACGGCCACAUCCUCUCCUACACCGCGGGUACUACGGCGAUGACAAGGGCAUCCACUUACCUGCUAGAUCAAGAUCGCGUCCACCACCUUGACUUCACUCCGAAGGUUCUCUCCCUGUCUUUUGCUCUCUUGUUUAGGUAGUUGUAUAUGCUCUAAUGUGUUCGGUGUUCAGAUCUCACAAGCGAUGCUCAUCUUUGUGAUUUGCUUGUUAAGAAAUUAUACUGCUUCUUUCGGCUAGCUUGCCGUUGUUGCAGAAUAUCAGUUUGCCCUUUGCAACAUCCGCUCCUGCAGGUCUACUAGGUACCAAGGAAUGUUUAAAGACUACAUUGGUGUUUUCUAGCUUGGAGAAGCAACAUCAACUUGGGAUGCAGAUUCACCACUAUAUGUGCAUGCAUCUCAUAGGGGGAGAGAUCUUGUAUGGAUGUAAGACCAUUUUUCUUCUGUUAUAGAUUCUAGAGUGAUGCUCUGCUUAAAUUCGUAUCCAUGCAUAAAGUCAACAUCCAAUGAAAUAUGAGCAAAUUAUUUUAUCUCUAUUAUUGUAAUUGUGAGCUAUGACAACCAUAUAAAUAGAUUUAGUAUAUUUUGAUUGCAUAGUUUCUUUUCUGCUAUUUGAAAUAUGAAUGUGUAUCUUUAAUCAUGACUGAAUAUGCAUUUUUAAGCAUGACUAGAACUGCGCUGAACAUGCAUGCUUAAUCGUGUAUUUUUUUCUGCAGCUAAAAUUCAGCUGAAGCUUUACAGAACUAGGGGAACACUAAUCCAUAGAGCUAUCAUUUCCUUUGCUUUGUUUUUCCUGUAGAAUAGAUUAAGCAUAAUCUGAGUGGUGUAUAUGCAACACAUUUCUUAAUGGCCAUGCAUGCAAUUAUAAUCUAUUUCUGUCAAGACUGGAAACCUCGAGAUGGUGAUCAAAGAUUUGGUUGAAGGAAUCAGCAAACAGAUGUUUUAGAGCAUCAUGUUGUGAGCUCUGAUGUUCCUCUCAAGACUUGGAUGGGCAACCUGAUGCAAGUUCUCAAGGGAUAUUUGGAGCAUGUACUUCUCAAGGCGAUGUGAUGCAUGUGUAGUUAAUUAACAGGUUGAUUGGAAGUGUUUUGAUCUAGCAACAGUAGCUGAUAUGUGGUCUUGUCUAUAGCAAAUUCUAGAUUCAAAUUGCAGUGCUUAGACCAUUUUGCAACUUAAUCUAGCUUUUUUGGAUCGACGGGUGGUAUGAAUAUGUUGUAUGAUAAUGAAUAUUCAGUCAUCCAUGAAUUAUUUGAAUUAUAGCCGAUAUAUAUAUAUCCAAAUUUGGUGUA